CCCACACCCAUGUGUGUAGGACCCCAAAGGAUCGUCAUUAAAUUUGGCACAAAUCUAUAGAAACGUUAUCACAUGGGUGUGGGACUUGACUUUUCUAGAGAUCUGUGCCAAAUUUAAUGGUGAUCCUUUGGGGUCCUACACACAUGGGUGUGGG
rfam:Amborella trichopoda AMTR_V1.0_contig_42217, whole genome shotgun sequence.